CCUGGCUCAGGAUGAACGCUAGCGGCAGGCUUAACACAUGCAAGUCGAGGGGCAUCAGGGGGAGCAAUCCCCGCUGGCGACCGGCGGAUGGGUGCGUAACGCGUAUGCAACCUGCCCGUAACCGGAGGAUAACCCGCCGAAAGGCGGACUAAAAAUCCAUAAGACCCCGCUGCGGCAUCGCAGCGUGGUAAAAUCCACGGAGGUUGCGGAUGGGCAUGCGUGCCAUUAGGUAGUUGGUGAGGCAACGGCUCACCAAGCCCACGAUGGCUAGGGGGUCUGAGAGGAUGGUCCCCCACACUGGAACUGAGACACGGUCCAGACUCCUACGGGAGGCAGCAGUGAGGAAUAUUGGUCAAUGGGCGGAAGCCUGAACCAGCCAUGCCGCGUGCAGGAAGACGGCCCUAUGGGUUGUAAACUGCUUUUGCAGAGGAGUAAAGUGACGUACGUGUACGUUAUUGCAAGUACUUUGCGAAUAAGCAUCGGCUAACUCCGUGCC
rnacentral:rRNA from 1 species